CCUACGGGUGGCAGCAGUGGGGAAUCUUGGACAAUGGGCGCAAGCCUGACCCAGCUACUCCGCGUGUGGGAUGACGGCCUUCGGGUUGUAAACCUCUUUUGUUGAGGACGAAAAGUCUGUUGAUUAUCUCUAUAGAUGAUGACGGUACUCUAAGAAUAAGCCCCGGCUAACUACGUGCCAGCAGCCGCGGUAAUACGUAGGGUGCGAGCGUUAUUCGGAAUUAUUGGGCGUAAAGGGUGGGCAGGCGGUUUUGCAAGUUUGAUGUGAAAGCCCAGGGCUUAACCGGGGAAAGCCAUACAUAACUGUAAGACUGGAGUGCGGCAGAGGAAGGUGGAAUUCCAAGUGGAGCAGUGAAAUGCGUAGAUAUUUGGAAGAACACCGGUGGCGAAGGCAGCCCCCUGGGACGCAACUGACGCUCAUACACGAAAGCGUGGGGAGCAAACAGGAUUAGAUACCCGUGUAGUC
rnacentral:rRNA from 1 species